UGGCCCCCCCUGACUCUUACGCCCCCCCCCAUCCCUAGUCACUACACUUGCACUAACCUUCAUCAUGGACUUUACAUUUGCCCAUUGCAUUGCACUCAAUUUUGCAUUCAACCCAUUUUUUCUUAUGCAACAGUCACUUUGUA